rnacentral:rRNA from 1 species
CAGUAGCCACGGGAAUACAGAGGGUGCGAGCGUCAAUCGGAUUUACUGGGCGUAAAGCGUGCGUAGGCGGCUUCUUAAGUCGGAUGUGAAAUCCCUGAGCUUAACUUAGGAAUUGCAUUCGAUACUGGGAAGCUAGAGUAUGGGAGAGGAUGGUAGAAUUCCAGGUGUAGCGGUGAAAUGCGUAGAGAUCUGGAGGAAUACCGAUGGCGAAGGCAGCCAUCUGGCCUAAUACUGACGCUCAGGUGCGAAAGCGUGGGGAGCAAACAGGAUUAGAUACCCGAGUAGUCCCUGUCUCUUAUAC